rnacentral:lncRNA from 1 species
GCAGUCUUCACAGCUCUGGCACUCAGGUUGCAGUGAGAUCCAGGGAGAGCCAGAAGUGAGGCGCCCAGAGAAGUGUUCACUUGUGGCUCGAAGUCCAGGUGUGAUACUGCAUGAAAACCCCCCGAUUUGGCCAUCCAGAGCAUGGUAAUCAAGAAACGCCUAGAUGUUUCCAAAAAUGGAUUGGGUGUCCCUCCAAGUGUUCAUGAAAAGGUUGAAUUUCCUCUUGGUGGGGAGUUACAGAGGAGAUUAGCAGAUCAGGCUGAAUUAGGGACAUGGAUGAAGCUGGAAACCAUCAUCCUCAGCAAACUAACACAGGAACAGAAAACCAAACACCGCAUGUUCUCACUCGUAAGUGGGAGUUGAACAAUGAGAACACAUGGACACAGGGAGGGGAACAUCACACACCGGGGCCUGUCAGGGAGUGGGGGGCUAGGGGAGGGAGAGCAUUAGGACAAACACCUAAUGCAUACGGGGCUUAAAACCUAGAUGAUGGGUUGAUGGGUGCAGCAAACCACCAUGGCACAUGUAUACCCAUGUAACAAACCUGCACAUUCUGCACAUGUAUCCUAGAAUUUAAAGUAAAAUUAAAAAGUAAAUAAAUAAA